UAAAAUCUGCAGCAUCAAAGUCCACAAUCAUGGGGCCACUGUCACGUGCUUGCUCAUUAUUGAAUUUCCUCCCCCUUCUCUCUCUCUCUCUCUUUCUCUCUCACUGUAUUUCCUUUUCUUCAACAGGGAUCCGAAUUAUUUCUCAUAUCACAUAUUAUCUAAAGGAGUGUUGCAUUCCUGCAAAUAUAAGCUCUGUAGAAGAGAAGCUAAAUGCAGAAAGAGAGAAGACAGUGCAAAUUUACUAUAAAGACACUAAACAUGGCUGCCGGCCCGUGCCGUUCGUCGUUCACAGGUAUCCCGUUUCCCAUAUUUCGGUAUAUAUAAUUUUCUUAGAGGAGGGAAAAAAGAAAAAAAAGAGCUUAGUCGAUUUAUGGAUUUAAAAUUAGUGCAUUAUGUUUUAAUUUUGCCUCGACAAAGGAGAAAAAUAAUUUGAUCGCAUAACAGCAUAUAAUACUCCUCAGCCAAAUGGCAAUUUUUUUUUCAUUGUGUUUAUUUUUUUCAGUGUUUAUUUUUUUCUUUUUUUUUGCACUUUGCACAUAGGUGAUAAAUCAUGAAAAAUGGAUAGCCAAACACUACCUUUCCAAAUACGUGUUAAUAAAUCCCCUGCUGUUUGUCA
rnacentral:lncRNA from 1 species